rnacentral:lncRNA from 13 species
UCUCAGUUGCCUCAAAUGGCUGCUAUGGCAAACCCAGUGCUGUGAGGAGCAGGGUGGCCUGACUUGGGGAUGGGCUUCAAGGCAGAGCUGCUCCUCCUUUUGGGGGCAAAAUUGUGAUGGAGGGUAGAUGGGGUCAGAGCACUCAGGACCUGACCCGAACUCUGAGACACCUGCAUGCAGGCCUGCUGAAGACACGCUCUGGCAUGGGGUUCUCCAGACACUUGGCUCCCACACUUCAUGGAAGGCCUCAGGGUCUCCUCAAAAGAUGAUUCAUUAUAAGGCCAUACUCUGACCACAGCUGGUUUCCACUGGCCUGUUUUUCUAGGGUCCCCAGAGUAUAUCUUACCCUACCUCUUGUGCUAAUAGUAGCUUGAACUUGACUUCUGCCUCCAGAGUUUUCUAGAACAACUUGACUGGCACAGGUGGAACUAUGUCCUGGGCUUUGGAGUCAGAAAGAUGUGUGUUCAAGUGUUGGUGCUGCCAGUUACUAGCUCUGGGCUCUAGUGCCUGGCAUUUAGUAAGGGCUCGACCAAUGAGGAUUGCUGUUAGUACAGUUGACCCUUGGACAACAUGGGGUUGAAUUGUGCAGGCCUACUUAUAUGUCAAUUCUUCUGCCUCUGUCACCCCUAAGACAGAAAGAUCAACCUCUACUCUUUCUCCUCCCCUGCAGCCUACCUGAUGUGAAGACAAUGAAGAUAAAGACCUUUGUGAUGAUUCUCUUCCACUUAAUGGACAGCCCAGCAGAACUUGGGGAAGAUGGCAUACUACCUUUCAGUGGUGGACAGAACAUAAUUCUUCAUCUCCUAUUUUGCUUCUCUCCCUUCUCUUUGGACUGACAAGAGUCCCACACCAUUUAGGAGCUCAGUAGGGGAAAAAACUACACUGGGCAUUUCAGAAGAGGUAACAACUCCAGAAUCCAUCACCAUCUCUACGAAUGAGGGGCAAAGGGAAGAAGUGGGAAGACAGAAUCUAGAACUGCGUAGCUGGGUCUGACAUCCCAGGGGACACCACUCAGCAGUUGCUGGGUCCCCUGAAGUGUCAUGAUGAAGGCUUAAUGCUGGAGCAAUGACAACAGAAUCUAGUAAGCCAGUGGGAAGUAGCAAGUCUCUUCUCCUGCCUUCCCGUCUCUCCUCAGUGUUCUUACUGGCAGAACCAAACAUGGAAUCAGUCAGCAAAAGAUAAAGGUGUUUUGCAGUGUGCUGGGCCCAGCAUCUCAAAGCAAGGCAUAGAAAGGGCAAGGAGAGAAGGGGGCUUGGAGCUGAGAGA